rnacentral:misc_RNA from 1 species
GGCAGUUUAGCUAUGAUCCAAGUAAUCUCCAAUAACCCUAAACCUCUAUCAAUUCAAUGAUCAGACCAGUUUUGAAAACCAUGAAAUUUAAUAAAUUUUCACAAUUGAACCAAACUGAUUUUAUUAAAGGAAUUGAAUCAAACCGAAUCAAAAUAUUCGGUUCAAUUCGGUUAUUCAGUUUGAUUCAGCAAUAGAUAUGCAGAUUGCAUAAUUU